AAGGAAGUCCUGGUAUACAAGGCAACAUUGGACCAUGGGGAGCAAUGGGUGUUCAAGGACCACCAGGAGAUAAGGGCCCCCAAGGAUCAGGUGGUCCUCAGGGUGUUGCAGGUUAUCCCGGUAAAGAUGGCCCUCCAGGACCUGCUGGCCCUGUGGGAGAGAAAGGCAAUAAAGUAAGCAACUAUUAGAAAUGUAUUCAAGCCAAAUAUAAAUAAAGACAAAUACAAAGACUCAUAAAACGCCAAAGUUUAAUGUCUUCACACCUCUAAAUUGUGCAGGGAUUUGUUGGAGCCUCUGGGCAAAAAGGAGCUGCUGGUGUCGAUGGUGAGGAGGUAGAUUGAUAAUAUUGUAUUGAUUACUCAGUUUGGGGUUCAUAACCUGGGGUAAUACUUUAUCGAACUCUAAUUAAUGUUGCUUAGAAAGUAAGAGGAGCAUGAGGGCUGCUUGCUUUGCUUUAGGGCACAGUUGGAAUUAGUGGUCCUGUGGGGAAGGCUGGACAACAAGGUCUAUUGGUGAGUAAUCAAUCAAUCAUGCAUUAUUAUUCACACUUUUUUGACAUCCCCACCAUAACUGAAAUACAACUGAAGAUGUGUUAAUGGUUCCUUCCUUUGUAUGUAUGGUUCUUCAGGGUGACCAAGGAACACCUGGACCUGUUGGUAUAAAAGGAGAAGUGGGAGUCCAAGGGGAACCAGGCAGUGGAGGACAGUUUGGAGUAAAAGGCCCUCCAGGAAAAGAAGGAAAAACUGGUGUCCCUGGAGAGCAUGGCAGUCCUGGACCCCUUGGACAAAAAGGUGAUACCGGACCCAGGGGUACGCCCGGACUGGCAGGACGAUAUGGACCUGGGGGGAGCAUUGGAGGAGGAGGGGCCAAGGGUGAAAAAGGCCUCAAAGGACUCAGAGGAGAGUCUGGAAGAC
rnacentral:lncRNA from 1 species